GACGAGACGCGAUACGUAAAUAUAUGGGCGGAUUAACACAAAGUAAACACACCGCACUGACACUUUGGAUUACGAUUACAGACACAGUAGAGUUAGAGACAGUUCGAUAAAAGGUCGGUAGUUCUAGCCGUCAGAAUAAAACUAAUUUUCAAUAUUUCAUCACGAUCUAGGUCCGUCGCAUAGACGAACAAGAUAUCGAAUUAAGCGCAAAAAAUUUGAGUUACCGUAGAGAAGGAAGGUGGUGACUAAUUGCAGUGAAACCCGAAGGAAAGACGCGAAAUUUGACGAAGUUAAGUUGACACGUUUAUCACUCUAGCACUCACACAUGCACACACGCAACACCAAUUACAGCUUACAAUUGUGUGAUCCACAAGUGCACGACGACUUGUUUUUCACAUUGGUGUCGCCGUAAACUCUGUACAGUUAGUUCAUCGCCUGUGCGCAACAAUGAUUGAGAGGCAGCAAUGGAUCACGAGUUUACUUACCCUUCACUAAAUUCAUGCCCAAGAGGAGCAGUAAACAGAACAGAGAACGAAAAAGACCAUGGAAACUCUACAAUACAAAAUGCAAAGCCCAACCCUGAUGAUCCCGGAAGCUUACGACAGCCGUAAAUUCGUCUGGAUUUUCCCGGUGUGUGACCACCCUGAUUUUGAUUUUGGUCAAAACGACGCGGUGCGAAAUUCCGCAACAAAUAACCACACGAGACGUCAUGCUCUACGAAGUGAUUCAAACACUAUAAUUAUUGAUUAAAAUAUACCGCCUGCACACGGACUCCCACACAUCGCUAUACGUAAGUAUCUAGUAUGACGCCAUUAUAUCCCACUCAGCGCAUAAUAUGAGCAACUGAGAUGUGUCAAAAUCAUAAAUCUUUGGCAGAAGUGUUUUAUU